rnacentral:lncRNA from 1 species
CCUUUCCUGACUCUGGAAGAUCUACAGUCUUUAAAAGUUCUUGAGUGACAACUGGUCCUGGAGCUAACAAAAAUAUCCUCUCUUGUGAAUAUGUCAGCUUGAGAAGCUGGAGAAGUCAAUCAUUGCAACACUGAUGCUUAAUUUCAAGCCAACUGUAGCCUAGAAGAAUAUUCUGAAGAAAAUUCCCAGGACUACUGGGAACUGGUUUAAGGAAGACAGACUUCUCAGAGCCAAGAAAGCAAGAACAUCAACUUCUCUGAAAGUGGGAAGGAGUUUCGAAGAGGCUUAGUCAACCACAAGACUUGAGAGGCAG